rnacentral:rRNA from 1 species
AGGGCCUACACACACGCUACAAUGGUCAGUACGAAUGGGUUGCCAAGCCGCGAGGCGGAGCCAAUCCUAAAAAAGCCUGGCCUCAGUUCAGAUUGCAGUCUGAAACUCGACUGCAUGAAGUCGGAGUUGCUAGUAAACGCAGGUCAGCUAUACUGCGUUGAAUACGUUCCCGGGCUU